rnacentral:rRNA from 2 species
UGGGCGUAAGAGCUCGUAGGCGGUUUGUCGCGUCUGCCGUGAAAGUCCGAGGCUCAACCUCGGAUCUGCGGUGGGUACGGGCAGACUAGAGUGAUGUAGGGGAGACUGGAAUUCCUGGUGUAGCGGUGAAAUGCGCAGAUAUCAGGAGGAACACCGAUGGCGAAGGCAGGUCUCUGGGCAUUUACUGACGCUGAGGAGCGAAAGCAUGGGGAGCGAACAGGAUUAGAUACCCUGGUAGUCCAUGCCGUAAACGUUGGGCACUAGGUGUGGGGGACAUUCCACGUUUUCCGCGCCGUAGCUAACGCAUUAAGUGCCCCGCCUGGGGAGUACGGCCGCAAGGCUAAAACUCAAAGGAAUUGACGGGGGCCCGCACAAGCGGCGGAGCAUGCGGAUUAAUUCGAUGCAACGCGAAGAACCUUACCAAGGCUUGACAUGUGCCAGACCGCUUCAGAGAUGGAGUUUCCCUUCGGGGCUGGUUCACAGGUGGUGCAUGGUUGUCGUCAGCUCGUGUCGUGAGAUGUUGGGUUAAGUCCCGCAACGAGCGCAACCCUCGUUCCAUGUUGCCAGCACGUAGUGGUGGGGACUCAUGGGAGACUGCCGGGGUCAACUCGGAGGAAGGUGGGGAUGACGUCAAAUCAUCAUGCCCCUUAUGUCUUGGGCUUCACGCAUGCUACAAUGGCCGGUACAAUGGGUUGCGAUACUGUGAGGUGGAGCUAAUCCCUAAAAGCCGGUCUCAGUUCGGAUUGGGGUCUGCAACUCGACCCCAUGAAGUCGGAGUCG